UUGACAACUAGCUGGUUUCCUCAUAAGAGUCAAUGCUAAUAUUUUCGGAAUUCAUUUAAAUUUGAGAGUGUGUCAACUGUGUUUUUAUAGUCUGGAGAAAAUGCCUAAAUUUUGUGCUGUUGUGGGUUGCGCGAAUCGAAGCACCAGAAAUACGGACAAAUUUUAUUUUCCUUUCCCAGCAAUUAGCAACAAUACAGGUAAAUAUGUACAGGAUGGGGAAAAGGCGGAAGCUUUGGUUAAAAGCCUUGAAACGAGUGGAUUUAACGAAGCCAAAGUAAAGUAUUCCUAUAUUUGUUCGGAUUAUUUUAUUUUAGGUAAACCUGCAGAUUUGUCGGAUGUGGACCAGCCUGAUUAUGUUCCAUCACAAAAUUUAGGAUAUCAAAAUAAAUUCACUCAUAAUACUUGUAAUGUUGAAAGACACAGUCAUUUAAAAAAGAGAAAACUGA